AGAGUUUGAUCCUGGCUCAGAAUCAACGCUGGCGGCGUGCCUAACACAUGCAAGUCGUACGCGAAAGCGGCCUUCGGGCCGUGAGUAGAGUGGCAAACGGGUGAGUAACGCGUGGGUGACCUGCCUUCGAGUGGGGGAUAACCUUCCGAAAGGGGGGCUAAUACCGCAUAACAUCCCGCCCUUGGAUGGGUGGUGAUCAAAGUCGGGGAUCGCAAGACCUGGCGCUUGAAGAGGGACCCGCGUCCGAUUAGCUUGUUGGUGGGGUAGCGGCCUACCAAGGCGUCUAUCGGUAGCCGGCCUGAGAGGGCGGACGGCCACACUGGGACUGAGACACGGCCCAGACUCCUACGGGAGGCAGCAGUGGGGAAUUGUUCGCAAUGGGCGCAAGCCUGACGACGCAACGCCGCGUGGAGGACGAAGAUCUUCGGGUUGUAAACUCCUGUCGAGCGGGACGAACAGCGUGCGGGUUAAUACCCCGUGCGCCUGACGGUACCGUUAAAGGAAGCCCCGGCUAACUCCGUGCCAGCAGCCGCGGUAAUACGGGGGGGGCAAGCGUUGUUCGGAAUUACUGGGCGUAAAGGGCUCGUAGGCGGCCAGCCAAGUCGGACGUGAAAUCCCUCGGCUUAACCGGGGAACUGCGUCCGAUACUGGUUGGCUUGAAGCCGGGAGAGGGAUGCGGAAUUCCAGGUGUAGCGGUGAAAUGCGUAGAUAUCUGGAGGAACACCGGUGGCGAAGGCGGCAUCCUGGACCGGUCUUGACGCUGAGGAGCGAAAGCUAGGGGAGCAAACGGGAUUAGAUACCCCGGUAGUCCUAGCCCUAAACGAUGAAUGCUUGGUGUAGCGGGUAUCGAUCCCUGCUGUGCCGAAGCUAACGCAU
rnacentral:rRNA from 1 species